ACUCUGGGACAAGCCCUGGAAACGGGGUCUAAUACCGGAUACCAGCNUCCCGGGCAUCUGGGAGGUUGGAAAGCUCCGGCGGUGCAGGAUGAGCCCNCGGCCUAUCAGCUUGUUGGUGAGGUAACGGCUCACCAAGGCGACGACGGGUAGCCGGCCUGAGAGGGCGACCGGCCACACUGNGACUGAGACACGGCCCAGACUCCUACGGGAGGCAGCAGUGGGGAAUAUUGCACAAUGGGCGAAAGCCUGAUGCAGCGACGCCGCGUGAGGGAUGACGGCCUUCGGGUUGUAAACCUCUUUCAGCAGGGAAGAAGCGAGAGUGACGGUACCUGCAGAAGAAGCGCCGGCUAACUACGUGCCAGCAGCCGCGGUAAUACGUAGGGCGCAAGCGUUGUCCGGAAUUAUUGGGCGUAAAGAGCUCGUAGGCGGCUUGUCGCGUCGAUUGUGAAAGCCCGGGGCUUAACUCCGGGUCUGCAGUCGAUACGGGCAGGCUAGAGUGUGGUAGGGGAGAUCGGAAUUCCUGGUGUAGCGGUGAAAUGCGCAAAUAUCACGAGGAACACCGGUGGCGAAGGCGGAUCUCUGGGCCAUUACUGACGCUGAGGAGCGAAAGCGUGGGGAGCGAACAGGAUUAGAUACCCUGGUAGUCCACGCCGUAAACGGUGGGCACUAGGUGUUGGCGACAUUCCACGUCGUCGGUGCCGCAGCUAACGCAUUAAGUGCCCCGCCUGGGGAGUACGGCCGCAAGGCUAAAACUCAAAGGAAUUGACGGGGGCCCGCACAAGCGGCGGAGCAUGUGGCUUAAUUCGACGCAACGCGAAGAACCUUACCAAGGCUUGACAUACACCGGAAACAUCCAGAGAUGGGUGCCCCCUUGUGGUCGGUGUACAGGUGGUGCAUGGCUGUCGUCAGCUCGUGUCGUGAGAUGUUGGGUUAAGUCCCGCAACGAGCGCAACCCUUGUCCCGUGUUGCCAGCAGGCCCUUGUGGUGCUGGGGACUCACGGGAGACCGCCGGGGUCAACUCGGAGGAAGGUGGGGACGACGUCAAGUCAUCAUGCCCCUUAUGUCUUGGGCUGCACACGUGCUACAAUGGCCGGUACAAUGAGCUGCGAUACCGUGAGGUGGAGCGAAUCUCAAAAAGCCGGUCUCAGUUCGGAUUGGGGUCUGCAACUCGACCCCAUGAAGUCGGAGUCGCUAGUAAUCGCAGAUCAG
rnacentral:rRNA from 1 species